GACGAACCGAGCGAACGUUGUUCGGAAUCACUGGGCUUAAAGGGCGCGUAGGCGGGCUGUCAAGUCUGGGGUGAAAUCCCGCGGCUCAACCGUGGAACUGCCUCAGAUACUGACGGUCUCGAGGGAGGUAGGGGCGAGCGGAACUGAUGGUGGAGCGGUGAAAUGCGUUGAUAUCAUCAGGAACUCCGGUGGCGAAGGCGGCUCGCUGGACCUUUUCUGACGCUGAGGCGCGAAAGCUAGGGGAGCAAGCGGGG
rnacentral:rRNA from 1 species